GAUUUCUGAGACAGAAUGAUCAGGGUCAGAGAUGACAUUUAGGAUGACAAGUUUAAGGGUAAUUGGUUGUUACAAGAGACAAGAAAGAGCAAUAGUGAAAAUAAACACAGGCACAAAGCAGAAGCAUUUUCUUCCACUUCAACAGAGCUCCUAUGCCUAAACAGGGCAGGGGAACUGUGGAUGUCACAGUGCCGUUAACAGUAAAGCCAAGUGACAUGAGUUUGUCUAUGUAACAAACCUGCACAUGUACUCCUGAAUCUAAAAUAAAAAUUUAAAAAAUAAAUAAAUGUUAAAUUAAAAAAA
rnacentral:lncRNA from 1 species